rnacentral:rRNA from 1 species
UACAGAGGUCUCAAGCGUUGUUCGGAUUUAUUGGGCGUAAAGGGCGCGUAGGCGGCGGGGUAAGUCGGGUGUGAAAUCUCAGGGCUCAACCCUGAAACUGCACUUGAUACUGCUCUGCUUGAGGACUGGAGAGGAGACUGGAAUUCACGGUGUAGCAGUGAAAUGCGUAGAUAUCGUGAGGAACACUAGUGGCGAAGGCGGAUGUCUGGACAGUAUCUGACGCUGAGGCACGAAGGCCAGGGGAGCGAACGGG